GAUCCUGGCUCAGGAUGAACGCUGGCGGCAUGCCUAAGACAUGCAAGUCGAACGAGACGGCCUAUUGAAGAUGGAGUGCUUGCACAAAGUUGGAUAUAGUUUACCGUCUAGUGGCGCAAGGGUGAGUAACGCGUGGGUUAUCUGCCUUCAAGACUGGGAUAACGGUUAGAAAUGAUCGCUAAUACCGGAUAAUACAUAUUUCAGUACGCUGUUAUAUGUUGAAAGGAGCCUUUAAAG
rnacentral:rRNA from 1 species